rnacentral:snRNA from 1 species
AUCGCUUCUCGGCCUUUUGGCUAAGAUCAAGUGUAGUAUCUGUUCUUAUCAGUUUAAUAUCUGAUACGUCCUCUAUCCGAGACAAUAUAUUAAAUGGAUUUUGGAGCAGGGAGAUGGAAUAGGAGCUUGCUCCGUCCACUCCGCGCAUCGACCUGGUAUGCAGUACCUCCAGGAACGGUGCGCCCCCU